CCCACGUCCUCAUGGAUCCUAGUCUGUUGUUAACCACUGAGCCAGGAGGGGAACUCCUAAUACCAUCCUUUAAUUAGCACCCUGUCAAUUGCUUUCUAUUUAUGACAAGUCUAUUAGUCAGGUUCCUGGCAGGAAACAGGUGGCACUUUCAAUAUGGGUAAUCUGAGGAUUUAAUCAAGGGACUAUUUAUGCAGAUGUGGCCCCACAGAGGCAAACCACAGGGGCUUCGCAGUUCCCCCGGGGAAGUAACAGCAUGGGGCCCGGGUGGCGAGGGGAGAGGUGGUUUCUAGAACAGGUGAUGGGCAAUGGACCAGACCUGGGCCCCUGGGCUAAGGGACACAGUGAGUCUGCUGCCACCCUCCAGGUUAGGGGCUGGGUAAUGAAUAUGGCAACCACACUCUCUUUCUCCUCUUCCCAGGCUCCUAACAUGCUGCCUACUGGCCAGACCUAAAACGAAACAGGCUGUGGGAGCCCACUGAGGGGGGCUUCAGACCAUCCUCGGUGCGGAUGUGGAGGGGCGGAGGGUAGUUCCCGCGGACAAAGAGGACACAUCCGCUAUGGCUAGUGAUACUCUUUCACUUACUAGUAAUACAAGCUCUCCUUUAAAUUAAACAUACAAGCUCUCCUUUAAAUUAAACAUACUUAGGUUUUUAAGAAUAAGCUAAAAUAAAGCAAACAAGACAAUAGGUGCGAUAAGGAUAUGGCAGAGAUGGUGAAGGUGCUGGCCGAUGACUGCACCUGGAAGCCCUGCUCAGGCCGGCACACUACCCCUUUGUAUGUUCGGUGACGUCCUCUCCCUCCUGGCCUCUUCCUGGCUGUCUUUCCUCUGGACCUUUGAGAGUUGCUGAGAAAUAGCAGGGAAAUGGUAUUUUUCACUGGAAAGAGAGGCGAGGCCCUGGGAGGUCACUGGGUGAAGGGCUCUGAGAUUCCCCCUAAUGGAUCUUUGCUCUCCCAGGCUUUCCAUUACCCAGCUCCCUUGGCUGCCCUCCCGAGGAGCACAGGGCUCUCUUUCUGAUUCCUUGACCAGCUGAGCAGCUGAGGAAAGGUGGAUGCUGCCUGGCCUUGGGGCUGAAACCCUGGGUUGGAAACUGGAGAAGGACCUUAAGGUGUGGAAGGAUCCCUUGCCUGAAUUCAGUCCAGGAGCCACCUGGUCCUGGCUCACAGACAGCCACGGCCUGAGGGCUAAGUGAAGACUUCAGAGAGGUUCUCUCCAGCGAGGGGGACCAGAAAGCUGUGUGAUUCAGAGGAUGGCUCUGUCAUUUGCUGAGAAAACAGAUGAAGAUGUUCUUUGGAAUGGCCCAACGGAU